rnacentral:misc_RNA from 1 species
UUAAGUUCAGCGGGUAUCCCUACCUGAUCCGAGGUCAACCUUGUAAAAAUUGGGGGUUACUGGCAAGACACCACGAGACUCUAUAGCGAGGAUAAUUACUACGCUCAGAGCUCGGGGGCACCGCCACUGGGUUUAGAGGCUGCGGAGUCGCAGGCCCCAAGACAAGCCGAAGCUUGAUGGGUUGAAAUGACGCUCGAACA